AACCUAGAAGUACUUAGUAUUCUAUUAACAUCCAAGCAAUGUUUGAACACGAUGUUCAAACAAGCCGCCACUGAGCCAUGGAUGGCGAAUUGGCGGCGGUUGCGUAUUCUUAUGUUACAUUAUAGUUAGAAUACUUAGUACUUCUUGGUUG
rnacentral:ncRNA from 1 species